CCUACGGGAGGCAGCAGUGAGGAAUAUUGGUCAAUGGGCGGAAGCCUGAACCAGCCAAGUAGCGUGCAGGAUGACGGCCCUACGGGUUGUAAACUGCUUUUAUACGGGAAUAACGCGCCUUACGUGUAGUGCUUUGCAUGUACCGUAUGAAUAAGGACCGGCUAAUUCCGUGCCCGCAGCCGCGGUAAUACGGAAGGUCCGGGCUUUAUCCGGAUUUAUUGGGUUUAAAGGGUGCGAAGGCGGUCUGUUAAGUCAGCGGUCAAAGCCCGGGGCUCAACCCCGGCCCGCCGUUGAAACUGGCAGUCUCGAGUGGGAGAGAAGUAGGCGGAAUGCGUGGUGUAGCGGUGAAAUGCAUAGAUAUCGCGCAGAACCCCGAUUGCGAAGGCAGCAUGCCGGGUCAAAACUGACGCUGAGGCACGAAAGCGUGGGUAUCGAACAGGAUUAGAUACCCGAGUAGUC
rnacentral:rRNA from 1 species